CUUUGGUCAACAGCGUUGAUGACAUUGCUACAGAAAUCAGAGAAGUAAAUAAUAGAGAACAUUGACGGGAGCCAGAGCAUAGUGGUGCCCUGUUCCUCGUUGGGCCUCCCUGCCCACCUGCGGCAUGUUGGAUCAUUACUGAAGGAGUAUUUGAGCAGUGGGCUGUCACUACCUUGACGCCAGAGUAUUUGCCAGUUUUAGAAAGCCUUCCUGAGUAACUGGACACCUGGACCUUCUCACCCUGGAAGGACUAACUGAGUUCACACUGAGCAGGGGAAAACCUCCAUAUGAUCAGUUUAAGUACUCAUCGGAAAUCCAAGUGACAGUCCGCUCCUUUACUCCUCUGGGUCCAAGGCUUGUCUAUCUGUCCGCCCUCCAACGAGUUCCCUCUUUUCUGGAUUUACCCCCACAAGCUGGAUUCAAAGACUGACAAGAGCACCCUCAAGCGCGAGUCCCUCUCCAAUUAAUAUUCAAGCCUCAGUCAAAUUUCCUCUGGUACCUGAACUGAUCGCUGUGAUCUCCCCUUCAGACUUUCCAGUUCCGGUAAACCAGUCCGCUGGGUUCCAGAACCAACUUCUGUUAUUUAUCUACAUUUAAUUAACCUGUUAAACUUUUCCCUUGGUCUCUGAGUGGUUCUCGCUUAAACCAAUCAUGACAUAAACAAGCUUCUAUCAACCAAAAACUAAGUUUUUCUUAUAUGUUUGAGUUCACCUGCAGGUUUGACACAUCAAAAUCAAGCAGAGCAAUUGGAAGUAAAGAACAGCCUGGUAUCAGCUGUUUUUCACACUGAGCUAUCAGAGCUCAUCAAAGCAGCUCAGGUGUCUUAAUGAAAACAAAGUGAAACUGAUUUAGUCAGUCUGUCUAUAAUUUUUGCUCAGUAUUUUGUACCCAAUUCAUCAAGUUUAAAUGUGUUUAUAAGGGAGUUACUCACA